GGCCGAUUGGUCAAGUGGUAAGAUCCUUGCUUUGGAUUCAAUGAAUUAUCUGCAAGAGUCCCGCGUUCGAACCGCGGAUCGGCCC
rnacentral:tRNA from 1 species